UACAGAGGUGGCAAGCGUUGUUCGGAAUUACUGGGCGUAAAGGGCGCGUAGGCGGCCCACUAAGUCAGACGUGAAAUCCCCCGGCUUAACCUGGGAACUGCGUCUGAUACUGGAGGGCUUGAGUAUGGGAGAGGGAUGUAGAAUUCCAGGUGUAGCGGUGAAAUGCGUAGAUAUCUGGAGGAACACCGAUGGCGAAGGCAGGUCUCUGGGCUGACACUGACGCUCAUGCACGAAAGCGUGGGGAGCAAACAGG
rnacentral:rRNA from 1 species